GAGCUAAUCCCACAAAACCGAUCGUAGUCCGGAUCGCAGUCUGCAACUCGACUGCGUGAAGCCGGAAUAGCUAGUAAUCGCGAAUCAGAAUGUCGCGGUGAAUACGUUCCCGGGCCUUGUACACACCGCACGUCACACCAUGGGAGUGGGUUGCACCAGAAGUAGCUAGUCUAACCUACGGGAGGACGGUUAACACGGUGUGAUUAAUGACUGGGGUGAAGUCGUAACAAGGUAGCCGUAGGGGAACAUGCGGCUGGAUCACCUCCUUAAUCGACGAC
rnacentral:rRNA from 1 species